rnacentral:rRNA from 1 species
UACGUAGGGGGCAAGCGUUAUCCGGAUUUACUGGGUGUAAAGGGGGCGCAGACGGCAGCGCAAGCCAGGAGUGAAAGCCCGGGGCCCAACCCCGGGACUGCUCUUGGAACUGUGCUGCUAGAGUGUCGGAGAGGCAGGCGGAAUUCCUAGUGUAGCGGUGAAAUGCGUAGAUAUUAGGAGGAGCACCAGUGGCGAAGGCGGCCUGCUGGACGAUGACUGACGUUGAGGCUCGAAAGCGUGGGGAGCAAACAGG